rnacentral:rRNA from 1 species
UUAUUAAUUUAAAGUCAGGCCUGCCCCCUGAAUAAUUUUUAAGGGCCGCGGUAUUUUGACCGUGCUAAGGUAGCAUAAUCAUUAGUUUCUUAAUUAGAAGCUGGUAUGAAUGGUUUAAUGAGAAAAUGACUGUUUCAAUUUAAAUUAUAUUGAAUUUUAUAUUUAAGUUAAAAAGCUUAAAUUUUUUUAAAAGACGAGAAGACCCUAUAGAGUUUAAUAAAAAUUUUUAAUUUUUAAUUUUGGGAUUAUUAAUAAAAAUUUAAGUUUUUAUUUGGUUGGGGUGAUUGUAAAAUUUAAUUAACUUUUAUUUAUUUAUUACAUAAAUUUAUGAAUAUUUGAUCCAUAUUUAAUGAUUAAAAGAUUAAAUUACCUUAGGGAUAACAGCGUAAUUUUUUUUUAGAGUUCAAAUUAAAAAAAAAGAUUGCGACCUCGAUGUUGGAUUAAAUUUAAUUUUUGGUGUAGAAGCUGAAAGUUUGGGUCUGUUCGACCUUUAAAAAUUUACAUGA